UACAGAGGGUGCAAGCGUUAUUCGGAAUCACUGGGCGUAAAGAGUUCGUAGGCGGAAUGUUAAGUCUGAUGUGAAAGCCCUGGGCUCAAUCCAGGAAGUGCAUUGGAUACUGGCAAACUAGAGUAUGGGAGAGGAGAGUGGAAUUCCAGGUGUAGAGGUGAAAUUCGUAGAUAUCUGGAGGAACAACGGAAGCGAAGGCGACUCUCUGGACCAUUACUGACGCUGAGGAACGAAAGCGUGGGGAGCAAACAGG
rnacentral:ncRNA from 2 species